rnacentral:rRNA from 1 species
UUAGAGUUUGAUCCUGGCUCAGGAUGAACGCUAGCGGCAGGCUUAACACAUGCAAGUCGAGGGGCAGCGAGAUCAGUGCUUGCACUGAUUGUCGGCGACCGGCGCACGGGUGCGUAACGCGUAUGCAACCUACCCAUUACAGGGGGAUAACACUGAGAAAUCGGUACUAAUACCCCAUAACAUCCAGGGAGGCAUCUUCUUGGGUUGAAAACUCCGGUGGUAAUGGAUGGGCAUGCGUUGUAUUAGUUAGUUGGUGGGGUAACGGCUCACCAAGACAACGAUACAUAGGGGGACUGAGAGGUUAACCCCCCACAUUGGUACUGAGACACGGACCAAACUCCUACGGGAGGCAGCAGUGAGGAAUAUUGGUCAAUGGACGCAAGUCUGAACCAGCCAUGCCGCGUGCAGGAAGACGGCUCUAUGAGUUGUAAACUGCUUUUGUACGAGGGUAAACGCAGAUACGCGUAUCUGUCUGAAAGUAUCGUACGAAUAAGGAUCGGCUAACUCCGUGCCAGCAGCCGCGGUAAUACGGAGGAUUCAAGCGUUAUCCGGAUUUAUUGGGUUUAAAGGGUGCGUAGGCGGUCGGAUAAGUUAGAGGUGAAAUCCCGGGGCUCAACUUCGGAAUUGCCUCUGAUACUGUUCGGCUAGAGAGUAGUUGCGGUAGGCGGAAUGUAUGGUGUAGCGGUGAAAUGCUUAGAGAUCAUACAGAACACCGAUUGCGAAGGCAGCUUACCAAGCUACUUCUGACGUUGAGGCACGAAAGCGUGGGGAGCAAACAGGAUUAGAUACCCUGGUAGUCCACGCAGUAAACGAUGAUAACUCGUUGUCGGCGAUACAGUGUCGGUGACUAAGCGAAAGCGAUAAGUUAUCCACCUGGGGAGUACGUUCGCAAGAAUGAAACUCAAAGGAAUUGACGGGGGCCCGCACAAGCGGAGGAACAUGUGGUUUAAUUCGAUGAUACGCGAGGAACCUUACCCGGGCUUGAAAGUUAGUGACGGAUCUUGAAAGAGGUCUUCCCUUCGGGGCACGAAACUAGGUGCUGCAUGGUUGUCGUCAGCUCGUGCCGUGAGGUGUCGGGUUAAGUCCCAUAACGAGCGCAACCCCUACCGUUAGUUGCCAGCAGGUCAAGCUGGGCACUCUGACGGGACUGCCGGUGUAAGCCGAGAGGAAGGUGGGGAUGACGUCAAAUCAGCACGGCCCUUACGUCCGGGGCUGCACACGUGUUACAAUGGCAGGUACAGAGGGCAGCUACCCAGCGAUGGGAUGCGAAUCUCGAAAGCCUGUCUCAGUUCGGAUUGGAGGCUGAAACCCGCCUCCAUGAAGUUGGAUUCGCUAGUAAUCGCGCAUCAGCCAUGGCGCGGUGAAUACGUUCCCGGGCCUUGCACUCAACGCCCGUCAAG